rnacentral:rRNA from 1 species
UACGAAGGGGCUAGCGUUGCUCGGAAUCACUGGGCGUAAAGGGUGCGUAGGCGGGUCUUUAAGUCAGGGGUGAAAUCCUGGAGCUCAACUCCAGAACUGCCUUUGAUACUGAAGAUCUUGAGUUCGGGAGAGGUGAGUGGAACUGCGAGUGUAGAGGUGAAAUUCGUAGAUAUUCGCAAGAACACCAGUGGCGAAGGCGGCUCACUGGCCCGGUACUGACGCUGAGGUGCGAAAGCGUGGGGAGCAAACAGGG